CGGGGGGAACGCGAAGAACCUUACCUGGGCUAGAAAAUGCAGGAACCUGGGAGAAGUCUCGGGGUGCUCUUCGGAGAACCUGUAGUUAGGUGCUGCAUGGCUGUCGUCAGCUCGUGUCGCGAGAUGUUGGGUUAAGUCCCGCAACGAGCGCAACCCCUGUCAUUAGUUGCUACGAAAGGGCACUCUAAUGAGACUGCCGGUGACAAACCGGAGGAAGGUGGGGAUGACGUCAAAUCAUCAUGGCCCUUACGGCCUGGGCUACACGCGUGCUACAAUGGUCGGUACAGAGGGUUGCCAAGCCGCGAGGUGGAGCUAAUCCCAGAAAACCGAUCGUAGUCCGGAUCGCAGUCUGCAACUCGACCGCGUGAAGUCGGAAUCGCUAGUAAUCGCGAAUCAGAAUGUCGUGGUGAAUACGUUCCCGGGUCUUGUACACACCGA
rnacentral:rRNA from 1 species